CCAAAGAGGGAAAUGAGAAGAGAAUUUCAGUUUUUAAACAAAAAGGGGAACGAAAUGAAAGGAAUUAGAAACUCCAACUCUUCUCGCCUACCCUUUUCUUCUCUGCUUUUUAGCACCAACUCCACUCUAUCCUUACUUCAUCAAUUUCCUUUUUGGAGUAGCAUUCUCCUGCAAACUAUAGGGACUCAAUUACAUCAUCUUAUUGCACAUUAGCAUGCUUUAGCUUGAAAUUUAACUCAUGUUUAACUCAUCAACACAAAGCAAGCAAGUUAUAACACAAUUAAUCACCACAACUUCUCCAAUCAAUACUAAAAGUAGUUCUUCCCUUAUUCAUAAAUCAAAAUUGGCUCAACACAUAGUAACAUACCCAAUAUCUCCCAAUUUCUAUCAUAUAUUCACAUUCCACGCUCCUAAGUGUUCAAUUAUAUAAGCAUCAAACAUUUAGCUAUUUUACCUCAAGCGUCACACAGGAGUUGCAUCCUCUAAUCUGAGUAUUCUACUUUUAUGGACUUAACUAACUGCAAAACAAACAAUAACAUCAUAUUUCUUGGGAUAUCUCAAGUUGAAAUCAUAUUAAAGUCACUUCAAAUAUGUAAUCAUAUAUGAAUCUCAACUUUGAAAUAUCAUAUAAAAUCAACCCCUUCAAAGAAAAAUACAAGCUUUAUCUUUUUAGAAAGAUAUUAAAGUCUAUAUUUAUCAGGAAUUUACAAAAAUACAAUGUCUCAAGUGUAUAAGAAGUUAUAUCACCAAAGGCAGAAACUGCCACUGACCUACGCUUCUUCGUGCAGUACAUUUCAGAAAUUCGUUUGACAUAUCUAACGGUGUUGGAUUUAGCUGAAAUUUUGCAGACACGUACCACUCAUGCCGAAGUUAUUACAGUAAAAAUUUCAAGUUAUUUAGACUACGAUAACACCAUCAGAAGCACCUCGAAACAUACUGCCCUGUCAAGCCGAAAACUGACAGCAAAGUCCCUUUGUUUCAACUUAACAUAUAAUUCAUACUUUUGUCAAAUACAACCAUAGGGACUCAAUUACAUCAUCUUAUUACACAUUAGCAUGCUUUAGCUUGAAAUUUAACUCAUGUUUAACUCAUCAACACAAAGCAAGCAAGUUAUAACACAAUUAAUCACCACAACUUCUCCAAUCAAUACUAAAAGUAGUGCUUCCCUUAUUCAUAAAUCAAAAUUGGCUCAACACAUAGUAACAUACCCAAUAUCUCCCAAUUUCUAUCAUAUAAUCACAUUCCACGCUCCUUAGUGUUCAAUUAUAUAAGCAUCAAACGUUUAGCUAUUUUACCUCAAGAAUGCCCAAAUUCUAGGGUUUUCUGCCUCCAUUUUCCUCUCUGAAAUCCGCCCCUCCGGCAAGGCCCUCCGUCACCGUCGCUGUCUCCGUCACACCGCCACCCCUGCCUCAGGUAGGCUCCCUCUCGAUCUUCCUCUCUCAACCUCUCUCUCUGCUCUCCCCCUCGAUCUCACUCUCUGUCUCUUUCUCUGCUGUUGGCGGCCACUGCGGACCGCCGUGGCGUUGGGCAGCGCCGGAUCAGCCAUCUAUUCUGUGAUUCAGAAAAUUUUAGUGCGGAUCUGGGUGUGUGCGUUGGGUGAGAAGAGAGAAAGUGAUAGAAAGAAAAGGGAGAGGAGGGAGAAGAUGGCGGUUGGCCGCGAUGGAGCUGCCGGGCUCCGGCGAUGGCGCAAAGUGGCUGUGGCGGCGGGACCAUGCGUAUUCAUGGUGGUGGGAUGAAAUCUGAGAGAGAGAGGGAUGAAAUCUGAGAGAGAGAUAGUGAGAUGGGAGGGGGCGCGGCGCAGGAGAGAUAAGGGGAAUAGGGUUGGAGUUGGGUUUGUGUUGGGUUUAAUAUGGGUAUAAAAUGUUAAUGAAGAGAAAAAAAAUAAAAUAUUUUUAAUUUUGUUUUUUUCAUAAUUUAUUUAUUUUUUAUGAUUUUUAUACCAUAUUAAAUAUUUUUUCAUUAACUUAAAUUUAAGAUGUAGUAUUAAGUAUUUUUUUUAUGAAUUAAAUUUGAUGAUGUUCAUAAAAAAAAUUAAAGAAAAAAAUAGUAAAAAAAAAUUAGUGAAAGAAGAGAGAGAAAAAA
rnacentral:lncRNA from 1 species